rnacentral:misc_RNA from 1 species
GAUGAAGAACGUAGCGAAAUGCGAUAACUAAUGUGAAUUGCAGAAUUCCGUGAAUCAUCGAGUCUUUGAACGCACAUUGCGCCCCCUGGUAUUCCGGGGGGCAUGCCUGUCCGAGCGUCAUUGCUGCCCAUCAAGCACGGCUUGUGUGUUGGGUCCCGUCCCCCUCUCCCGGGGGACGGACCCGAAAGGCAGCGGCGGCACCGCGUCCGGUCCUCGAGCGUAUGGGGCUUUGUCACCCGCUCUUGUAGGCCUGGCCGGCGCUUGCCGACACCCAACCAUUUUUUUCAGGUUGACCUCGGAUCAGGUAGGGAUACCCGCUGAACUUAAGCAUAUCAAUAAGCGGAGGA